rnacentral:rRNA from 1 species
UACGUAGGGUGCAAGCGUUGUCCGGAAUUAUUGGGCGUAAAGAGCUCGUAGGCGGUUUGUCGCGUCUGCUGUGAAAAUCCAGGGCUUAACCCUGGACCUGCAGUGGGUACGGGCAGACUAGAGUGCGGUAGGGGAGAUCGGAAUUCCUGGUGUAGCGGUGAAAUGCGCAGAUAUCAGGAGGAACACCGGUGGCGAAGGCGACAUCCUGGACCGGUAUUGACGCUGAGGCGCGAAAGCCAGGGGAGCAAACGGG